rnacentral:lncRNA from 1 species
UGCUAGAGGGAGGGUGCUAAGUGAAAAUGCUACAUGAACUACAUGCUUUUUAUAAACAGUAGUGAUUCUCCUGCCCAGACUGCAACCACUGGACCACCUUACCUAUAUGUGCAUGGCUGUUUUUCUUUCAGCACAGACAUCACCUCCUAAGAAAGGCAUUCCGUGCCAGACUGAGAGACAUGAGAAAUACCUCAAAGUGAUACGAAGUUGAUAGACCCCUGCCACACAAAUACAACACUGAAGAUGGAUUUUCAUCAAACGUGGAGGAACAGAAGAUGCCAAGAUGAUACAAUAUGGUAUCUGCCCAUGAAGAGAUUUUAUUCUAUAGAAGAGAAAGUCAUAUCCGGCAUCUCACAUGAUGAGACAACAUGAGAGAGUUUUAAAAUCAAGUUAUUCUACUGUCCUUGUUUUUGUCUCCUCACUUGACUUUGGGCUUCCCUAAGUACUCUUGUUCAAAAGUCUGGAUCCUGCAGCUCUUUCAGGAAUAAUUCAUUUUUAUGAUUAUUUUAUACCCUGAUGAUGAGGUAGUUAGGUGAUCUUGGAGCUGUGACCUUCACAAAUGUUACAUGUGUUUCUCAGACUGGGAACUGUGGCUCAUGCCCAUAAUCCCAACACUUUGGGAGGCUGAGGCAGGAGGAUUGCUGGAGCCCAGGAGUUUGAGAUGAGAUGGGGCAACAUGGUGAGACCUUCCCUUUCUAAAAAAAAAUAAAAAAUAAAUAAAAAAAAUCAAACAAUUAUCCAGGAGUGGUAGUGUGCAUCCAUGGUCCCAGCUACAUGGGAGAAUGAAGAGGGUGGAUAGCUUGAGCCCAAG